rnacentral:sRNA from 1 species
GCCAGGUGUGGUGGCACACACCUGUAAUCCCAGCACUCUGGGAGGCUGAGGCAGGUGGAUCACCUGAGGUCAGGAGUUUGAGACCAGCCUGGCCAACAUGGUGAAACCCUGUCUCUA